rnacentral:ncRNA from 1 species
CAACCUCAACUCAUAUGGGACUACCCCCUGAAUUUAAGCAUAUUAAUUAGGGGAGGAAAAGAAACUAACAAGGAUUUUCUUAGUAGCGGCGAGCGAAAAGAAAUCAGUUCAGCACUAAGUCACUUUGUCUAUAUGGCAAAUGUGAGAUGCAGUGUACGGAACAUCAACAUUCUAGUAUGAGAAGUUAACGAUUUAAGUCCUUCUUAAAUGAGGCCAUUUACCCAUAGAGGGUGCCAGGCCCGUAUAACGUUAAUGAUUACUAGAUGGUGUUUCCAAAGAGUCGUGUUGCUUGAUAGUGCAGCACUAAGUGGGUGGUAACUCCAUCUAAACUAAAUAUACCAUGAGACGAUAGUAACAAGUACGUGAGGGAAAGUGAAAGA